UCUCUGUCUAAGGGGCAGGGCGGAAGAUCGAGCCUCAACGCUGCCCGACACCCGCGCUGGAUUUAAAGCCCGAGCUGUAGGCGUCUGUCUCCGCCGUGGCAGCGUUUUCUUGUCCUCUCCAGGGCUGGGAGAGUGCAGCGCUCCUCGUCCCCUUUCCUGGUGCAGGAAAGCGAGACCGCCUUCAGCCUUCUCUCUGCGCCUCCCCAGACCCUCAGCUCUCCAGUGAUUCUUAUGGCCCUGCACUGGGAGAGGGUCACCCAUUCAGCAAAAAGUCACCGAGGGCCCAAAAGGUUUUGCCAGAGAAAUAGGACGGCUGAAAAUGUUACCCUGAUGGUACACACGGAAUAACCCGUGAAACACAUUCCUGAUCUUCUCCAUGAUAUUUAUGGCGAUGAUGGUCUUCCCUGAGCCAGGAAACAGAAUGCCUCUCUUGAGUCCAUGGAACGCACAGAGGUCUCAGAUCUA